UACAGAGGGGGCAAGCGUUAUUCGGAAUUAUUGGGCGUAAAGGGCGCGUAGGCGGCCUUGCAAGUGGAAGGUGAAAUCCCUCGGCUUAACCGAGGAACUGCCUUCCAGACUGCUAGGCUUGAGACCGGGAGAGGUGAGUGGAAUUCCCAGUGUAGCGGUGAAAUGCGUAGAUAUUGGGAGGAACACCAGUGGCGAAGGCGGCUCACUGGACCGGUACUGACGCUGAUGCGCGAAAGCGUGGGGAGCAAACGGGG
rnacentral:rRNA from 1 species